UACGUAGGGUGCGAGCGUUGUCCGGAAUUAUUGGGCGUAAAGAGCUCGUAGGCGGUCUGUCGCGUCGGUCGUGAAAACCUGCAGCUUAACUGUGGGCUUGCGGUCGAUACGGGCAUGACUGGAGUUCGGCAGGGGAGACUGGAAUUCCUGGUGUAGCGGUGAAAUGCGCAGAUAUCGGGAAGAACACCCGUGGCUAAGGCGGCUCUCUAGUACGGUACUGACGCUGAGACGCGAAAGCGUGGGGAGCGAACAGG
rnacentral:rRNA from 1 species